rnacentral:lncRNA from 1 species
GCAGGCACAAGGAGAGGGACCAGACUCACAGAGUUUCUCUCCUGAAAUGUGAACCAUUAUUGGAGCUGAACAUACUGUUUGGCCAGAUCACUGUUCUCAGUGUUCCGAAGGUUGGAGUUACAGACUAGGCACAGGAUGUAAUGGACGCCUUUUGACAGAGGCAGUGGAGGGACUGGAAAGCUGGACUGGGAAACAGAAAAAAAAAGCAAGUGAGGAAUGGGUAAAGGAGACGUUCUGGCUGGGCUCGAGUCCUGGAUGCUCUCUGCUGAUUGCUGUCUGAAGGUUUGCAAGAUAAAGCCUUGA